UUGCUUACAGAGCAAAAUGCACCAUUGUAUGUGUAUGAGUUUCUGGUGCCCUUUUUAAAUGAAUGAUUUUUGGGACAGUUUAUGCAAAUUGGAAGCGACUGUACCUUUGUGUGAUAUCUCACUGUGCUUUUAUUUUUUUAUUUUUCCUUUUCUUUUUUCUUUUGGGUGGGGUGUAAUAGAAUGAUUUAUUGUUUGACUAAUGGCCUUUGUUAGUGGGAUGAGCCAUUGAUUGCUAUGUCUGUUCAAUUUUCCUUAUGAGCGGCUAUCAUUUGCUCGCUCUCUCUCCCUCUGUCGUUGGUGUUGUUGGCGUUGUGGGCAUGUGCUGCGAUCUGAUUUGGGCGGAUUGAUGGUGGUUGGCGAUGGAUGCCCACCUUGUUGAAAA
rnacentral:misc_RNA from 1 species